rnacentral:lncRNA from 1 species
ACGGGAGGAUUCAAUGGAUCUUGAAUCUUAUUGAUCUUAUCGAGUUAGUUCUGCACCACCACAGGGCCCAAACCAUACCUUGAGGUGAGAGAGGGUUCUCCUAACAAUGGACCAAGUCUCAACGAGUUCUUUCUUUUAGUGAAGGGAACCAGUACUUAAGCAAGAGGGGUCUCACCGAUGGUGGAUCGGAACCUAGGGCGACUUCGAAGAAGAAGACUCCCUUGUCUUAUUAUUAUUCUUAGUCGAAGCUAUGCAUGAGUGGUUCUCUUGAUGAGGAAGGAUCCCAAGGGGCUCUUAAUGCGGUGAAAGGAAACUCAUUCUUACUCAUAUCAAAUGGUUCUCUCCGUAUCAUGAGAUGGGCUACUGCGCGCUAACAGCUAACAAAAAGAGGGCUUUCUUUUUUUUAUAAAGACGCCUCCAUAUUCAGUCGAAGCCAAUUCUUUCAGAACCUCCC